AUGGGUCAAGGGCACAAAGUCGCAGUUAUGCAAGAUAAAUAAGUUCUGGAGGUCUAAUACGGAGACGGUGAUGAGAGUUAACAAUACUGUAUUGUAUACUUGAUAUUUGUAAGAGGAUAGAUCUUAAAUCUUCUCAAUAGACACGUGCAAAUGGUAACUGUGUAGAGGUGAUAAAUAUGUUAAUUAGCUUGAUAGUGGUGAUCAUUUCACAAUGUAUGUGCAUAUGAAAACAUCAGGUCACGCAUCUUAAGUACAUACAAUUUUUAAUGUCAGUGGUACCUCAAUAAAGCUGUUACAAAUCUAUAUAAAGAGGAGGAAGUCAGGCAGGAAUCUUCCCACUGUGCGGCCUGCCUCUUUGCACUUCUUUGAAUUGCGUUUAUCACAGGCUACCUUAUGUAAGGAUGACGUGAAUGUCUGUGUGCCUUUCCCCCUCAAUUACAGCCUCUUGGCACGGAGGGCCUCUAUUCCACUGAUCUUAAUACAGCUACAGCAAACAGCAGGCACUCAAUGCUUGUUGGAGAAAAAUCCAAUCGAUUUCACUUUGGCAUCAGCUAUUCAGUUGGAAGCAGCUCAAGAAACAUACGGAUAUCAGAGAGGAGGGUGAGUGGCUUUCAAGGUCCAACUAAGGAGGUCACCUGAUCAUUCAGUGUUUGAAAGACACCAGCCAGCCACAGGCAUCCAUCUAACUGACCGGGCCAAUGAAAGACGGUGAGCAAAUAUUCCUGGGAGCUGUAUACGGAGGUAGAGACCCGAUUUCAGGACCAAUACUGCUCAAUACUUAAAGGCCAAUGCCGAAAAAUAAAAUGCAUUAUUCCCCC
rnacentral:lncRNA from 1 species